GGAUAUAGCUCAGUGGUAGAGCGCGUGCUUAGCAUGCCCGAGGUCCUGGAUUCAAUCUCCAGUACCUCCA
rnacentral:tRNA from 1 species